GUGGGAUUAUGUUUGGGCAAGUGGAAGAAAUGAAGACAAAGACAGCCUCCCCGGAGCCUGAAUCCUCCAAUUUACGCCUUUGCAAAAUAGCAUCUGAUCAUUCUCCUUGGUGUAUGCAUAGGACAAAGACACAGUGGUCUCCAACGGAUUAUUUUCCCCUUUUCUUCAGUGAUAGGACCACCAGUCCACAGCUGGGCACAUGGCCAUGCUAAAUAUAGACUGUAUUUGCCAGUCUCCUUUGGCAGCUGUUUCCAGCCACAGAACUAAAUUCCAGCCAAUGGGAUAAGAGAAGCGGAUAUCUACAAGUUUCAGGAAAAGUCCUUAAAAAGAAUAGUGGGAGUUCCCAUCUAUGGUUCAUGAACCCAACUGGUAUCCAUGAGGAUGUGAUUUCGAUCCCUGGCCCCUCUAGGUGGAUGAAGGAUCCUGUGUUGCCGUGAGCUGUGGUGUAGGUCGCAGACACAGCUUGGAUCCCCCGUUGCUGUGUCCGUGGGGGUAGGCCGGCCUGGCUAUGGCUCCAUUGGUCCCCUAGCCUGGAAACCUCCACUUGCCACAGGUGCAGCCCUAAAAAAGGGUGGAUGGGGACAGUGGACGCUUCUUCUCUUCAUUACCCAUUCGUCUUUCUCAUGCAGACAGGAUGGCCAGUGCUCCAUCUUGGACCCUAAGAAUGAGGGUGAGAUUCUUGAGUUGGUUGAACAGAAAGUUGGAGACACCUGGGGCCCAGAUGAUUUGAGAGCUGCCAUAAAAGCCCUGGACAUCUUACACUCAGACUUUUGCAUGAAGGAGAGAUGCGUUCUAUACUCUCCUAUUGUUUUUGCACCGCUGUGAUUUGGAACCUUAAAGUUGGUGCUGCACCUGCAAUGCCAGAAGUAGGGUCUUUGCUGGAGCCUCAGGCCUAUGGGAGGCAGCCAUGGUUGGUGAAUGAAUGCACGGUGACUUUUCCACUCCUAUCAGACAGGGCGAACAUCAUUGGAAACUGUUCUCAUUCAUACAGGACAGACGAGAGCAUACAUUUACAGUGUCGCCCAGAGCAAUGUUACCUCUCCUGCCAUCUGUCACAACAUGCUCACAGGCACCUAACUACCCGGACAGGACGUUCCGUAGACUGUCUCACUAGUCCAUGCCACCAGUGAGCUUCUGCUAACCAGAUGAGUAAGAAGUGGCUGGCAGGCUGAAGAUCUUGGGGUGCCCCUUGAAAGUGGGACGUAAACUGAAGAUUCAGGGACCUGUCACAUCAGGGAAGUGUGUAGGGACAUCCCAGGACCUUCCCUCAGAUUAAAGGGCAAAUGAUUGCAUCUGUUUCUUCUCAGCACCAAGAAGGAAACACAAUUCUUGGUAGCCUGCUUCUGGCUCUGGAACCAGCAUUUUUCAUACUUGAGAAUGACGUCUGACCCAUUUACUAAGUGUUAUGAGAGGCAGCAAGAUCUGAAUCAGGCCCAGAGCAGGAAAGAGGUUCAUGUAAUUGCAGACUGAUGCUCAGGCCGUUGGAUCCAGCAGACACCAAGUAGUGAAGGCAUCUAUGGUGGGAAGUCACUGUGUGGGGUGGAUGGCAAAGCCCAAUAGAGGAAUCUCAGCAUAGACCCUAGACUUUGGGAGGACCACAUCUCCUACAGGGGAAAAUCCUACAGCAUUGGAGAGCCAUGUCCUGGUGUGCCACUUGCCGCUGGUAAAGAUUUGACCAUGAGCCAUCAAUUGUCCAUGUGUUUAGAGCUGCCCAACAAGAGCAAGGUUCUGUCAGACCCACCAAGUCAAAAGGUUGAGCAGACCCAAGAGCAAUCCAUUGUUUGAUGGAGAACAUUCAGGACUGGGAGCUGAUCGACUGGGAGCUGAUCAGGGCUAAAGGGGAUAAAUAAACCACAGGCCAAAGUCA
rnacentral:lncRNA from 1 species